UACGGCCAUAUCACGUUCAAUCAUCAGUUCCCGUACGAUCACUCAAGUUAAGCAACGUCGAGUUUGGUCUGUAUCUAGUUGGGUGACCUUUUGGGAACAUAUGGUGCUGUAAG
rnacentral:rRNA from 1 species